GUCUCAAUGUGGACGGGAUAAUCCUAUAAUCUGAUAACAACCCACUGUGCAGAUUUGGUGAUUAAAGUUCUGGUGCAAACUAACGCUAGUUGCCAUGGCUGCUGGAUGGAGGAGAAGAGGAAUUCUGAUUCUGAUUGACUUAAACCACAUUCAGACUGGCUGAUGGAGACGGUUUCUGUAAGGACACUAAUGGGUCCGUAUGGGGUAGACCGUGCCGUUCAUGAAAUAGAAUUUACUGACUGUGAGAAUGGACUGGGGAUCAAAGUGAUUGGAGGAAUGAAGGAGUUAACGGGAGAGGAGUUUGGAGUCUACGUGAAAAGGAUUUUACCUGGUGGCCUUGCUUCAAGUGAUGGACACCUCCAGGCGGGAGACCAGAUCUUGGAGGUGAAUGGGGAGAGUUUACUAGGGGUCACUAGUGAAAGAGCAGUAGACGUUCUGAGAUCAGCGUCCUCGAGCAACCAAAUGCGCCUUCUGAUCGCCAGAGACGAGGAAGCCAGGAGAGAGUUUUCAGAGCUUUUGGAGAAGUAUGGAUCCAGCAGUAGUACUGGGUCGACACGCAACUCUCCCAUCCAGCAUGGCAGAUAUCUGGACAGCACAUCGUCC
ensembl:lncRNA